rnacentral:rRNA from 1 species
UACGAAGGGGGCUAGCGUUGCUCGGAAUCACUGGGCGUAAAGGGUGCGUAGGCGGGUCUUUAAGUCAGGUGUGAAAGCCUUGAGCUCAACUCAAGAAAUGCACUUGGUACUGGGUGACUAGAGGACCGGAGAGGAUAGUGGAAUUCCCAGUGUAGUGGUGAAAUACGUAGAGAUUGGGAAGAACACCAGUGGCGAAGGCGGCUAUCUGGACGGUUUCUGACGCUAAGACGCGAAAGCGUGGGGAGCA